rnacentral:rRNA from 2 species
GGAUGCGAUCAUACCAGCACUAAAGCACCGGAUCCCAUCAGAACUCCGAAGUUAAGCGUGCUUGGGCGAGAGUAGUACUAGGAUGGGUGACCUCCUGGGAAGUCCUCGUGUUGCAUCCCUGACUUUUGCCGUUUCCGUCGCUCGCUUUGUCCCUCCCUUUCAGCCCCGUUCGUUGCAGCCCCGUUCGUUGCACGGUUUGGCCAAUUUUCGCCGGCCGUCCUCGCGGGGGGCGAAGAUAAGGGGAGCGGCGGCGCGGGGCAUGUC